UUCUGGCUUUCCUGAACCUUGCUGAUGGUGACAUUAUUCUGUGUUUGUCUCUGUCCAUCUUGUGCUUGUUUUAAAGAUAAAGUGAAAGUCGCUCAGUCGUUUCCAACUCUUUGUGAACCUAUGAACUCUACAGUCCAUGGAAUUCACCAGGCCAGAAUACUGGAGUGAGAAGCCUUUCCCUUCUCCAGGGUGUCUUCCCAACCCAGGGAUCGAACCCAGAAUAAAUGAUCUUUGCCCUCCUGUGGAUAAUUGGAUCAUGAAGGUAGGUGAGGGCUUAACCGUUACCAGGGGAGAUUGCUUUGGGGGAGGUGUUUAAGGGCUGGGUAGUAACUCCUGUGUCUGAGGGGAAAGACACAAAGAGGAGGGGGAAGAACCAGCAUUUACUGAGUCCUGUACUGGGCCAGACACUAGUAUGGAUGCUUUAUGAGAUUACUCUCAUCUCAUCCAUUCUCUUCUUGUCCCUAAUUUAUUCUCGUGCCACCCAUUGCCUUGCUCAAUACACUUUAAUGGUUUCCAGUCACUCUUUGCACAAAGACCUAAUUCCUGAUCACUGGCUUUGAGACCUGGCAUGGUUUGGCUCUUGCUGAUGGGGUUGGCCUGCUUUUUUCUUCAUCUCUUUGUUUUUGGUUCUUCAGUUGUACCUGAACUUCUUUCCUUUGGCCAUAAUUGUUUGGUUCACUUAUAUAUCCCGAAGCCUCGCCCACUUUUGGCACAGAAUAAGUGCUCGAUAAAUAUUCUUGGCUGGAAGAACAAACAAGUGAAUGCAUUUAAUCCUUUCAACCAUCCUCCCAAGAUGAGGAAAUAGAGUGUCAGAUGGUUUCAGAUCCAUGCCUGAGCCUCAGCUGAUAACGUGUAGAAGUGAGCCACGUUUCAGCAAUGCUAUGCAGGUUUCUCUAAGGUCUUGUGUGGGGGCCACAUUGAGACCCCUUAGUAGAUGGAGAAGCGCACACUUAGGAACUGUGCUACCCAACAUGAUGGAGAGAUAAGCAGGACUGGGCCAGCCAACUAUAUCCUGAUGCAAUUUUCUUUCCCCUCAGAUGUGUUUGUGGCCCUGGUGUUCCCUGAGAAGUUUUAUUUAUCUGUGGAUUUUAUCUGAAGAAAGGCAGUCAGAGGAUGUUCUUUAGAGGCCAAGCACAGGACCAACCCAGAAAGGAUACGCAGUAAGAAUUUACUGACACUGAAUCUGGAAGAUUUGACAUUCUCUGCCCUUCUUUCAGUCUGGAAUAAGGAGCAGUAGGCAUUUGCCAAUUUGAGUGGUCCUCCCUGAGACUGCUGAGUAGUUUGGCAUUGUGGGAAUUUGUUUCACACUAUUCUGAGUGUGCAAUCCAACCCUAAACCCUCUCACUACAGUUCCAUCCCAUUGCUAUUACUUGAAAUAAAGGGCAAGUGUGUAUGCGGGUGUGCUAAGUCAUUUCAGUUGUGUCCGACUCUGCAUGACCUCACUGACUGUAGCCCGCCAGGCUCCACUGUCCAUGGGAAUCUCCAGGCAAGAAUACUGGAGUGGAUUGUCACACCCUCCUCAAGAGGAUCUUCCUGACCCAGGGAUAGAACCCAUGUCUCUUACAUCUCCUGCAUUGGCAGGAGAGAUUCACAAGCUGCUAUGAAAGUGAUGGCUACAGGUGUCUAAAUCUGAUUGAGGAGAGAAUGUCUUGAAUGAGAAUUCCAGUGACAGAGACUUGGAUUAAACUGCAUGUUUUUAAAUGAAUGAAGAAGAAUUCCUUGGACUACAGGGAGAUUAAAAAUAGCUGAGCACUGAAGAAUUGAUGCUUUUGAACUGUGGUACUGGAGAAGACUCCUGAGAGUCCCUUGGACUGCAAGGAGAUCCACCCAGUCCAUCCUAAAGGAGAUCAGUCCUGAAUAUUCACUGGAAGGACUGAUGCUGAAGCUGAAGCUCCAGUACUUUAGCCACCUGAUGUGAAGAGCUGACUCAUUAGAAAAGACCCCAAUGUUGGGAAAGGUUGAAGACAGAAGGAGAAGGGGAUGACAGAAGACCAGAUGGUUGGAUGGCAUCACCGACUCAAUGGACAUGAGUUUGAGCAAGCACCAGGAGAUGGUGAAGGACAGAGAAACCUGGCGUGCUGCAGUCCAUGGGAUCCACGGAGAAUCAGACAAGACUGAGCAACUGAACAAAAAUUAAACUCAAAUCUUGCCCGUCAACAGCUGACUUUGAACCCACAUAUUAAGAAACUUCAAAAAAGUAUUGUUCUACAUAUAAAUCCCUCUUUUUAAAACUUUUGCAACUUUUGAUGAGAGUUUUCCCCCUUCUUAAAAAAGAAACUCACCUUUGUUGAGUAUUUACUCUCUACCAAAAGUUGCAACAUUUUCCAAGUGAGAAAAGAACAUGCUGUCAUGAUCUGAUCAGUGACACUGUUACUGCUAUUCAGGUGCUGCCAGGUUCCCGGCAUCAUGUGAACCCAUGACCCAAACAUACCAUCUGUGGGACACCACUUCACAUCCCUGACAUCUUGCCACAGUGAUUUUUUUUUUUUUUUUUACUGUUUUUACCAUAACAUUGUUGACUCCCAGGAAUGAUUUACUUGUUAUGAGAAUUUUCCAGUAAAUGGUAAUAAGACGCCACGAUCUAACAAAAUUAGAAUAUUACAACAAUUUUGACAAUGGAAGUAAAGAAAUUGUUUUUAACUUAAGGAAUUAUCAUAAUCAAAUGACAGUGUCAAUCUAGCACCUAAAAUAGCCAGUGACUCUAAACAAAGAUUAGGCAAGUAAUGAACUCACGGGUGAGGACUUGCACAUGUAAAAUUUUUUUUUAAAUCCUUAUUGUGAAUGGCACAGUGCCAGUAUAUAAUAUACUUUAUUGACAUUCAAAUCAUCUGUUGUUUUUUAAAGUACUAAGGUGAAAUUGCUGGGUCCCCAGUUUAAAUUGAAUUACCUUCAUUACAACAUGAAUCAUGUAACAAUGGAUAUCUAUUCAUUAUUAGUAAUCUAUAAAGUAAGUAUUCCAUGGAUAUAUUAUAAAAACUGUAUAUGUUGUUAUUGAAAACUUAUUC
ensembl:lncRNA